GUGAGGAAUAUUGGUCAAUGGACGAGAGUCUGAACCAGCCAAGUCGCGUGAAGGAAGACGGUUCUAUGAAUUGUAAACUUCUUUUGUGCAGGAAUAAAGUGGGUUACGUGUAACCUUUUGUAUGUACUGUACGAAUAAGGAUCGGCUAACUCCGUGCCAGCAGCCGCGGUAAUACGGAGGAUCCGAGCGUUAUCCGGAUUUAUUGGGUUUAAAGGGUGCGUAGGUGGAUUGAUAAGUCAGCGGUGAAAGUUUGCAGCUUAACUGUAAAAUUGCCGUUGAAACUGUCGGUCUUGAGUGCAAAUGAGGUAGUCGGAAUGUGUUGUGUAGCGGUGAAAUGCUUAGAUAUAACACAGAACUCCGAUUGCGAAGGCAGCUUACUGGGAUGCAACUGACACUGAUGCACGAAAGCGUGGGUAUCAAACAGGAUUAGAAACCCUAGUAGUCC
rnacentral:rRNA from 1 species